GUCCCUUCAUGGGCAUUUCAUAAAGGUGGAAAAAUACUUAGAAGAUUAGCAUGAGUGUAGCGCAAGGAUGACAUACACAAAGGAAUAGAGAUGUAGUUUUUU